GGGAUUGUAGCUCAGUGGUAAAGCACUUGCCUAGCAUGUAUGCGGUACUGGGUUCGAUCCUCAGCACCA
rnacentral:tRNA from 1 species